AUUAAAAAAAAUAGUAAAAAAUCAAAAACCUAAAAAAAAAUCUCUGCAACAUCAAUCGACGCUGCUCAACUUCAAGGAACGGUCUAUUCUCUUUAUAGCAAGUUUCUUCAUAUCGAUUUUCAUUAUCCAACCCAAAAAUGUUAAUCUGCUCAACUUCGAGGAACGGUCUAUUCUCUUUAUAGCAAGUUUCUUCAUAUCUAUUCUCAUUAUCCAACCCAAAAAUGUUGAUCCUCACAAAGAAUUGUUAGGACAAAACACACAUACGAUCUAUUUUGACUUGACAGUAAAUUAUAUUUUGAUACUAACUCAUUUGAUCCUUAUUUUUCUUUUAACUAUUGACUUUAUUCUUACAAUAAGAAGCUGAGGGAAUAUCAUAUCAUCGUCGCAACCGAACUCGCUGCGCUAAUUAUUGAUCAAGAAAAUACUACACGUUAUACACCAAUCAGUUUUCCAACUUGAUUUAUUACAACAAUGCCACGAACACGCAGGGGGGCUAAUUUGAGUCGUCAAACAAACAGAUCUAGAGGCAUGCAAGAUAGAAGAGCAAUAAGAUCAGAU